rnacentral:misc_RNA from 1 species
CGCGUAUAUAAUUCCAUAAUCAAGUACAAAUUCAAAUAUAAAAAAAUUGAAUAAUCAAGUUUGAGAAACCAGAUUGAAAAUUGAAAAUGAUUAAGAAAUUCAGAAUCAAAUUUAAAAAAUUUAACGAAUCAAGAAUCAAAACUCAUAAUUUAUGGAGAGCCAAAUGCCAGUGGAUGUAAAUGAGCGAGAAUGAGUAAGAUUUAUUGUAAAGAACACUGUGCCCACCAUAACAAUCCCUC